GAGCUAGACCUGGGUGGCUGCCAGUGUGCGCUCCGGGAGGCGGGAAGGUCUCAAAAUCGCCAGGCUAGAACGUCACCUGGUCGAAAUGUAAGGGUCGGGAAGGUCCCCCUCUACCACCGCGUGACAUCCAAAACGCCUGAGAUUCGUGCCCAGCGCAUCCACUGCGAUGCCAGGAGACCGAGGCCGCCAGAAGGGUGAUACCUCCCAGCAGCCACGCCAGGCUGAGACUUCGCAUCCCCGGACGUGGGGCGGGUGGGCAAUCCGCCACCAGUGGUUCGAAACUCGGAGCCCUAGUCGGAGCACAGGAUUUCUCCACGACUUGCAUAACAUAUUCAUCUAGACGCUGGGAAGAUGGCUCUCUGGUUAAGAACACUGGCUGCUCUUCCACAGAUCCUGAGUUCAAUUCCCAGCAACCACAGGUUGGCUCACGAUAAAAGGAGCUGAGGCCCUCUUCUGGCAUGCAAGUGUACAUGCAGACAGAGCACACAUACCUUAAAAAAAAAAUGAAAAUAAAGUAAAAUAUUCACCUAGCA